GAUGAAGAACGUAGCGAAAUGCGAUACGUAAUGUGAAUUGCAAAUUCAGUGAAUCAUCGAGUCUUUGAACGCACAUUGCGCCCCCUGGUAUUCCGGGGGGCAUGCCUGUCCGAGCGUCAUUGCUGCCCUCAAGCACGGCUUGUGUGUUGGGCCCCGUCCUCCGAUCCCGGGGGACGGGCCCGAAAGGCAGCGGCGGCACCGCGUCCGGUCCUCGAGCGUAUGGGGCUUUGUCACCCGCUCUGUAGGCCCGGCCGGCGCCUGCCGAUCAACCCAAAUUUUUUAUCCAGGUUGACCUCGGAUCAGGUAGGGAUACCCGCUGAACUUAAGCAUAUCAAAAAGCGGAGGA
rnacentral:misc_RNA from 1 species